rnacentral:rRNA from 1 species
UAUGGUAAUUGGGGGAAAGCAGCCGCGGUAAUACGGAAGGUCCGGGCGUUAUCCGGAUUUAUUGGGUUUAAAGGGAGCGUAGGCCGGAGAUUAAGCGUGUUGUGAAAUGUAGAUGCUCAACAUCUGAACUGCAGCGCGAACUGGUUUCCUUGAGUACGCACAAAGUGGGCGGAAUUCGUGGUGUAGCGGUGAAAUGCUUAGAUAUCACGAAGAACUCCGAUUGCGAAGGCAGCUCACUGGAGCGCAACUGACGCUGAAGCUCGAAAGUGCGGGUAUCGAACAGG